GCGUACGGUAUGCCAGCCUGAACAGGGCAGUGCCCCUUCUCCGGCAUUAUUUUGCUGGGGAAGACACUCGCCCUGAUUUCCGGCUCAGCAGAGCAUCCAUAACCGGUCUGCUGCAGCUGCUCAACCAGGAGCGGAGCCAUGGAUGGGGGCCAACCAUAGAGGUCCGGGUGUUUCUGUUUUGGCUGGCCAGCGGUGCGUCGUACCGCGUGGUGUCGAGGGCAUUCGACAUGCCCAGGACCACGGUGCACAACGUCGUCCAUAGGGUCUGUGGCUGUGUGAUCGUGGCGAUGCCAAGGGUGAUCCGGUUACCUUCCACUGCUGAGGGGCAGAGAGAAGUAUCUGAGGGUUUUGCCCGACUGGCUAGGCAUGGGGCUUUUGCCAGGGCCAUGGGAGCCAUUGACGGCUGCCAUGUUCGUAUCAAAUCCCCGGGAGAGCCCCAUGGCCAGGAUUAUUUCAACCGCAAAUUAUUUCCAUCGAUACAGCUGCAGGCGGUGUGUGACCAUGCAGGGCGCUUCAUUGAUGUGUUUGUGGGUUAUCCAGGUUCUGUCCACGACGCCCGGGUCCUGAGGCACAGCCCCCUGUUCCAGUCUGCCGCGUACCCACCCCCUGAUACCUUCUUGUUGGGUGAUGGGGGGUACCCCUGUCUGAUGAGGCCCAUUUCCCUCAUCACACCAUACAAGAAUCCACUCAGGGGAGUGGCACAACAGAGGUUUAUCAUGCCAGAGCUCGUUCGGUCAUUGAGCGGGCUUUUGGCAUGAUGAAGACCAGGUGGAGGUCCAUCUUUUUCUGUGCCUUGGAGGUGGACGUCUCAUUUGUGCCAGAUGUCAUUGUGUGUUGCACUAUGCUUCACAAUGUAUGUCCGGGCAAUGAUGAUGUCCUACCGGUGGAUGAGGAGGACCCUGAAGAGCCCGUCGGGGGAGAGGACCAUGGCGAAACAUCAAGUGGUGGUGCCCUGCGAGACAGCAUUGCAGAUCAGCUGUCCGCACUUCAGUGUCUUCCAUCGGGACACGAUUAUUGUUAAUAAAUUAUUAUAUAGUUCUUUGAUUGAUACAUUGUUAUAUAGUUCUUUGAUUGAUACAUUGUCAUAUUGUUCUUUGAUUGUAUAUUGUAAUUACAUUAAUUAAGUUAUAACACCGUUUAUGUCGUUGCAGGAACACGGACAGGAGCCUGAAACACCGCACUCACUCCACCCACCCAACUCACU
ensembl:lncRNA